rnacentral:rRNA from 1 species
UACGUAGGGGGCAAGCGUUGUCCGGAAUCAUUGGGCGUAAAGCGCGUGUAGGCGGCCCGAUAAGUCCGCUGUGAAAGUCCAGGGCUCAACCCUGGGAUGCCGGUGGAUACUGUCGGGCUAGAGUGCGGAAGAGGCGAGUGGAAUUCCUGGUGUAGCGGUGAAAUGCGCAGAUAUCAGGAGGAACACCAAUUGCGAAGGCAGCUCGCUGGGACGUUACUGACGCUGAGACGCGAAAGCGUGGGGAGCAAACAGG